GCGUCUUUAGCUCAGUUGGAAGAGCAGCGGAUUCUUACUCCGAAGGCCGUGGGUUCGAACCCCUCAAGGCGCACCA
rnacentral:tRNA from 1 species